rnacentral:rRNA from 1 species
UACGUAGGGGGCGAGCGUUAUCCGGAUUCAUUGGGCGUAAAGCGCGCGUAGGCGGCCGCCUAAGCGGAACCUCUAACCCCGGGGCUCAACCUCGGGCCGGGUUCCGGACUGGGCGGCUCGAGUGCGGUAGAGGAGAGCGGAAUUCCCGGUGUAGCGGUGGAAUGCGCAGAUAUCGGGAAGAACACCGACGGCGAAGGCAGCUCUCUGGGCCGUCACUGACGCUGAGGCGCGAAAGCUGGGGGAGCGAACAGG